CCAAGGAACGGCUAUGUUUUCAAAACAAAAACAUGAUUUAUGUGAAAUGUGAAUUUUAAUAGCCUUGGCGGUCUCGGUAGGAUGCCUUGGCCAAGGUGUCCCCAAGAAUGGAUUUAUGGCACAAGCCUAGAUUUUUAUGAGAUUCAUAAGCCUUUUUACGUAUUUUGAAAGAGAUUGUUCUAAUUGUAUAACCUAGUUUAUGAUGGUUUACUUUAUUGUCUCCAUGUACGCAGUUCUAGAUGUUUAUGAUGAUGUUUGUUUACUCAUUGGGAUUUUAUAAUCUCACCACCCUCCUUUCCACCCAUUUCAGGUUCAGUAUAGACUGUAGAUAGCUGAUCUCAUCGAGGACUACAGUGGGAUCUGCAUUUUCCAAACCGUAGGUUCACAGUCCUCUUUACUUUUGUUUAUUCGGGGGCACUCUUGUUAUUGUAAAUUAAAUUAAAUAUUUUGGCUUACUGUAUUUAAG
rnacentral:lncRNA from 1 species